rnacentral:rRNA from 1 species
CCUACGGGAGGCUGCAGUAGGGAAUCUUCCACAAUGGGCGAAAGCCUGAUGGAGCAACGCCGCGUGGGUGAAGAAGGUCUUCGGAUCGUAAAACCCUGUUGUUAGAGAAGAAAGUGCGUGAGAGUAACUGUUCACGUUUCGACGGUAUCUAACCAGAAAGCCACGGCUAACUACGUGCCAGCAGCCGCGGUAAUACGUAGGUGGCAAGCGUUAUCCGGAGUUAUUGGGCGUAAAGGGAACGCAGGCGGUCUUUUAAGUCUGAUGUGAAAGCCUUCGGCUUAACCGGAGUAGUGCAUUGGAAACUGGGAGACUGGAGUGCAGAAGAGGAGAGUGGAACUCGAUGUGUAGCGGUGAAAUGCGUAGAUAUAUGGAAGAACACCAGUGGCGAAAGCGGCUCUCUGGUCUGUAACUGACGCUGAGGUUCGAAAGCGUGGGUAGCAAACAGGAUUAGAUACCCCGGUAGUC